GAUGAACGCUGGCGGCGUGCUUAACACAUGCAAGUCGAACGGAAAGGCUCCUGCUUGCAGGGGUACUCGAGUGGCGAACGGGUGAGUAACACGUGGGUGAUCUGCCCUGCACUUCGGGAUAAGCCUGGGAAACUGGGUCUAAUACCGGAUAGGACGAUGGUUUGGAUGCCAUUGUGGAAAGUUUUUCGGUGUGGGAUGAGCUCGCGGCCUAUCAGCUUGUUGGUGGGGUAAUGGCCUACCAAGGCGUCGGCGGGUAGCCGGCCUGAGAGGGUGUACGGCCACAUUGGGACUGAGAUACGGCCCAGACUCCUACGGGAGGCAGCAGUGGGGAAUAUUGCACAAUGGGCGCAAGCCUGAUGCAGCGACGCCGCGUGGGGGAUGACGGCCUUCGGGUUGUAAACUCCUUUCGCUAGGGACGAAGCGCAAGUGACGGUACCUGGAGAAGAAGCACCGGCUAACUACGUG
rnacentral:rRNA from 1 species